rnacentral:rRNA from 1 species
CUAGCGUUGUCCGGAAUCAUUGGGCGUAAAGAGCGUGUAGGCGGCCCGGUAAGUCCGCUGUAAAAGUCAAAGGCUCAACCUUUGAAUGUCAGUGGAUACUGCCGGGCUAGAGUCCGGAAGAGGCGAGUGGAACUCCUGGUGUAGCGGUGGAAUGCGCAGAUAUCAGGAAGAACACCAACGGCGAAGGCAGCUCGCUAGGACGGUACUGACGCUGAGACGCGAAAGCGUGGGGAGCGAACAGG